GUUUAGCUUAACACUUCUAGCUCCUAUAUAUACUGGUCGUGUCAUUUUUCAUCGGAUUGUCUGUCUGAGCUUCUGGCCGGGGUCUUUUUUUUAAUCACUGCAUUUUUAAUUUAAGUUUUAGUGUAUGUGAUUUAAUUUAUAUUUAUUUAUGUAUCACCUAGGUUAUAUACCUUUAAUAAUAAUCAUAUAAAGAAACUGACACUUUUAUUUGUACUCCAACUACGUGGGAAUAUAGGGUCACGACUCACGAACUAGACUCAACUCAAUGGCAUAACUUCCGGCGAUCUCUUCUUUCCUGAAAUCCUGGAACUAUGUCCCUUUCAAUCAAUGGGCAAAUCUGAAAAUUUUGAUGUUAGUGUGUUUAUUGGAAAAAGAUCAUUUUGAAUUAUCUGAUGCAGCAAAGCUAGGUACUAACUGUGUGCGAUCUCGUGAUGGGAAACACCCCCCCUCCAUGGGGAGAUUGGGAAAAGCUGCGUGCGAUCAAGUACUUCAGACCAUUAGCGUGCAAUGUCAUCUACAUGACAUCCGCCGCCAUCAAUGGCAGACCCUCCCUGGACAGCUCCUCUUUGCUAAUAAGGGCGAUCAGAGACACAUGUGAGGAGGCACGCUUAGCUGCAUUUAUCAAAAACUCCUGGAGGCCACGAAAGGCUUUCAGAAGGGAAUACAGGCCUAGACAAACAGAUAACGCUGAUAGACAGUACAGAGAAUCACUGGCAAUGAUCAUGGCACCUCCCAUCGGCGCCCCUGCAAGGGAAAUAGCUUUGGAAAACCUACUCCAGGACGAAGCAAACCCUCAAGCAAAUUUAAAGGAGCAUGAUAACGAUUUGGGCCCAGAGAGAACAAAUUACCCGGUUACAACACCCGACCCGAAUACGUCCGGAAAAGAAAUCAACACAUCAGCGAAUGGCUCGACGGAAAUAGAACCGGCUACCUCUCGAAUCGAAGAAAUCGUAGAAUCCCAUGAACAGAUUGAGGGCCACUCCCUGUCGGUAGAAGAUCGUAGAGGCCGAAGUCACAUCCUAUACAACUUGCCAAAUCUUAACAGCCUCCCGAGGAGAUCCUCGUCCUCGAUGUCUUACUUGAGCGCCUCUCAAUUAAAAAUCAGAAGAAUGAAUGUAAAUUUUGCGGCCACAGAGGACGAUGAAAUCCAAUCCAAGCUGAGAGCAUUGGAAGAGAGAAUCGCCAAAGUCCCAAUUCAACUAUUUAAUCGCUUCCAAGUACUCCAGAGGGGUCCCCCGAAACAGGGCGCGACUCGCGCUGGAACUAAAAGCUCUUAACUAAAAUAACCAUCUCCCCCCCCACCAUGACUCUGCUGGUGUGGAAUGCUAGGGGAUUAUGUUCAACAGAGCGACAAAUGGAACUUAAAAAAUUUUGUAUGGAAAGAUCAAUAGAAAUCUUUGGUGCGAUCGAAAUCAAAAUCAAACCCGAUAGCUUCAAAGACACAGUUGAGAGAAUUGACAAUGAGUGGAAUAUAAUUCACAACCACGACAGCUCCGAUCGUGAUUCCAUCUGGCUGGGAUGGGUCACCGGGAAAUGGAGCGGCAAUAUCCUCCGUCUCCACGAGCAGUACAUACAUAUACGAAUGACGAAUAGAUGCGGGUAUUCAUUCGAUCUCACAGUGGCCUAUGGGGAACACACCAAUUAAGAGAAGAACGCUAUCACUACAAGAAAACAUGGAAACAGCCACGGCCAAGUUCACUGGCUAAAUGGC
rnacentral:lncRNA from 1 species